rnacentral:rRNA from 1 species
GACAGAGGAGCCAAGCGUUGUCCGGAUUGACUGGGCGUAAAGCGCACGCAGGCGGUUGCGCGCGUGGGGUGUGAAAGCUGGUGCUUAACUGGGAGGUGCGCCGAAAACUGGAAGGCUUGAGUAUGGGAGAGGUAAGCGGAAUUCCUGGUGUAGCGGUGAAAUGCGCAGAUAUCAGGAGGAACACCGAUUGCGAAGGCAGCUCGCUGGGACGUCACUGACGCUGAGACGCGAAAGCGUGGGGAGCAAACAGG